rnacentral:rRNA from 1 species
UACGUAGGGGGCUAGCGUUAUCCGGAAUUACUGGGCGUAAAGGGUGCGUAGGUGGUUGAUUAAGUCUGAUGUGAAAGCCCACGGCUUAACCGUGGAGGGUCAUUGGAAACUGGUCGACUUGAGUGCAGAAGAGGGAAGUGGAAUUCCAUGUGUAGCGGUGAAACGCGUAGAGAUAUGGAGGAACACCAGUGGCGAAGGCGGCUUCCUGGUCUGUAACUGACACUGAGGCGCGAAAGCGUGGGGAGCAAACAGGAUUAGAUACCCCGGUAGUCCCUGA